rnacentral:rRNA from 1 species
AAAGGAAUUGACGGGGGCCCGCACAAGCAGUGGAUUAUGUGGUUUAAUUCGAAGCAACGCGAAGAACCUUACCAGGGCUUGACAUGAGACUAACGAGGCAGAGAUGCGUUAGGUGCCCUUCGGGGAAAGUCUACACAGGUGGUGCAUGGUUGUCGUCAGCUCGUGUCGUGAGAUGUUGGGUUAAGUCCCGCAACGAGCGCAACCCUUAUUGUUAGUUGCUACGCGAGAGCACUCUAGCGAGACUGCCGUUGACAAAACGGAGGAAGGUGGGGACGACGUCAAAUCAUCAUGCCCCUUAUGUCCUGGGCUACACACGUAAUACAAUGGCGUUUAACAGAGGGAAGCAAGCCCGCGAGGGGGAGCAAAUCCCUAAAAGGCGUCUCAGUUCGGAUUGCAGGCUGCAACCCGCCUGCAUGAAGUCGGAAUUGCUAGUAAUCGCGGAUCAGCAUGCCGCGGUGAAUACGUUCCCGGGCCUUGUACACACCGCCCGU